rnacentral:rRNA from 1 species
GCUACGGGUGGCAGCAGUGGGGAAUAUUGCACAAUGGGGGAAACCCUGAUGCAGCGACGCCGCGUGAAGGAAGAAGUAUUUCGGUAUGUAAACUUCGAUCAGCAGGGAAGAAAAUGACGGUACCGGACUAAGAAGCCCCGGCUAAAUACGGGCCAGCAGCCGCGGUAACACGUAGGGGGCAAGCGUUAUCCGGAUUGACUGGGGGGACAGGGAGCGGAGGCGGAGAUGCAAGUCAGAAGUGAAAGCCCGGGGCUCAACUCCGGGACUGCUUUUGAAAAUGUGUUGCUAGAUUGCAGGAGAGGUAAUUGGCAUUCCUAUUGUAGCGGUGAAAUGCGUAGCUAUUAGGAGGAACACCAGUGGCGAAGGCGGCUUACUGGACUGUAAAUGACGCUGAGGCUCGAAAGCGUGGGGAGCAAACAGGAUUAGAUACCCCAGUAGUC